GAUGAACGCUGGCGGCGUGCCUAAUACAUGCAAGUCGAGCGAAUGGAUUAAGAGCUUGCUCUUAUGAAGUUAGCGGCGGACGGGUGAGUAACACGUGGGUAACCUGCCCAUAAGACUGGGAUAACUCCGGGAAACCGGGGCUAAUACCGGAUAACAUUUUGAACCGCAUGGUUCGAAAUUGAAAGGCGGCUUCGGCUGUCACUUAUGGAUGGACCCGCGGCGCAUUAGCUAGUUGGUGAGGUAACGGCUCACCAAGGCAAAGAUUGCGUACCCGACCUGAGAGGGUGAUCGGCCACACUGGGACUGAGACACGGCACAGACUCCUACGGGAGGCAGCAGUAGGGAAUCUUCCGCAAUGGACGAAAGUCUGACGGAGCAACGCCGCGUGAGUGAUGAAGGCUUUCGGGUCGUAAAACUCUGUUGUUAGGGAAGAACAAGUGCUAGUUGAAUAAGCUGGCACCUUGACGGUACCUAACCAGAAAGCCACGGCUAACUACGUGCCAGCCGCCGCGGUAA
rnacentral:rRNA from 1 species